GGCGCCUUCUGUGAUCCGUGCAUCGUGAAGGUCGGCUUCGGCGGUUUCGAGGACCUCGGCAAGAUCGGCGGGGGCUUCCCGAGGCUGGCCCGGGCCUGCGGCGUCGCCCCGAACAGACCAGGCGCCCGGGAUAACGGUGUCGUGGAUCUGCAGUUGUUGGAGGUCGAGCGGCGGAUCAAGGAAGAGGGUGCCAGCAAGAAGCACGCCAGGGAGAAGUUGAGCUUAUCAUCCCUCGCGGAGCAGUUCUUGGGCUUGCCUCUCGAC
rnacentral:SRP_RNA from 1 species